UACAGAGGGGGCAAGCGUUGUUCGGAAUUACUGGGCGUAAAGGGCUCGUAGGCGGCCAACUAAGUCGGACGUGAAAUCCCUCAGCUUAACUGGGGAACUGCGUCUGAUACUGGAUGGCUUGGAUUCGGGAGAGGGAUGCGGAAUUCCAGGUGUAGCGGUGAAAUGCGUAGAUAUCUGGAGGAACACCGGUGGCGAAGGCGGCAUCCCGGACCGAUAUUGACGCUGAGGAGCGAAAGCCAGGGGAGCAAACGGGG
rnacentral:rRNA from 1 species